AUGUGUGGAUGGUGUUCAGCACCAGGGACAUGUGUGUUUACCUGUGUGUGUGGAUGGUGUUCAGCACCAGGGGCAGGUGUGUUUACCU
rnacentral:pre_miRNA from 1 species